CUCUUCUUGUCCUGCAGAGGAGUGCGUGGGGCCAGUGUCAAUGUCUGGCAUUGGGAAGGCGCAAAUCAACACCACUGCCUCCUUGCCUUUCCUUUCAUUAAGCUCUUCACUACUGCCAAGGUCAUGAAUGAAAUAGGGCAUCCGUAACUACUCACGUGCGUUCCCUGCGUGCCCUUCAGGAAGCCCACCGAUCCCAGGUGGCAGACUCCAGGGUCAUCUCCUACGACCUCUUGAAAGCCAUUUCGUUUUUUUAUAGGGCAUGAAUGACUGUUUCUUGGAACUUCAUAACAUGUCAGGGAUUCUUCCAAACCAGCCAGCGUACAAUAGAGAGAUGGGAAGUCCACCUGGGGGGGAAGGACAAUGACUGGACACAGUGCUUCGGGGUAGGUGUUUGCUGCCAUGUGGAUGACCAGAAAGAGAACCAUAGACUGGGUUCACACAGACACACAGAUCAAAGAUGGUGGGUAAUAAACAUCAUUUAUUCACACAAAAUCUUUGUUCCCUGGGUCCUCUUUGCCUGCCUCCCAACACCCUCCCCCCCUCUCCUGGCCCUGCAGUUGAACAGGAAUAUCCUGUUCAUCCAUGAAAAAAAAAAGCCAUUACUGACCAUCCCUAACUCUGCAGCACAUUGUUCUGCACAUGGAGGGCCGAACUACUGGAGGCACACCUAUUCAUGCAUUUGGUUAAACCAUCGUUUCUUCCAUAAAUAUGUAGAAAGGACGUAAUUCAUGCCAGGGCCAUAAGGUCGACCAAGAUGGAGCUGUCUUUACUCUUGAAGGUAUCCUUGCUCUUAUGGAGAUUGCAUUCUAGUGGGGAGCUGGUUAAAACAAGAAAACAGAAAAACUAGGUAAUCAUAAACUGGUAAAUGCCAAGAAGGAAUCAAAUGAGGAUCGAAGAAAGACAGCAAGAGAAUGUGGGACCAACUGUAGACAGGGUGGUAGGAGAGGCUUCUGUGAGGAGUCACCAAUUAAGAUGAGCUUUCCUGCAUGAAAAGGAGCCGUGUUUCCAGUACAAUAUAGGGUACAACAUGUGCAGAGCUUCAAAUUGGGAAAGAGACUGAUAAGUUUCAGGAACUGGAAAAUCCAGGGUUCCAGAGCAUAGGAAAUGAGCGGAAAGUGGUAUAAGAUGAUAUGGGAAGGUGAUAUAUGUUUGUAUGCUCGUGGGCUCAGUCCAGAAGAGAAAGAAAACAUCACAAUGCAGGAAAGAGAGAGGAUGUCUUGAGGAAGAUUAUCUGUGGUGACUUUCUGGUCUCCCUGCCUCUGAUUCUUGUCUCCUCUCUUGGAAGUUGCUUCGGAUGCUCCUUAAGUUUUUGGUGAGAAAAGCUUAGGAGAGCAUAAACUAAAAAGAAGCUUUCUGACUUGGAAGUCAAUGAUGCUAGAGUGGUUCCCCAAAGACUUUGUGUUAAAGUUGGCCAUCAGACAAGUACAUGCUGGGUAAGCUUCUCAGACUUUUUUUCUUCAUUUUGCCUAUGAGCAAGCUCAGGUUUUGACGUAGAAAAAUUCAGUGGAUCUCCUGGCACAUAAUAGAUGCAUAAUCAAUAUUUAUAGGUGAAUAGUGAAUAAAUAAACCUGUGAAUGAAUUAACA
rnacentral:lncRNA from 1 species